rnacentral:rRNA from 1 species
UACGUAGGGGGCUAGCGUUGUCCGGAUUUAUUGGGCGUAAAGAGCGUGUAGGCGGCCUGGUAGGUCUGCUGUGAAAACUCGAGGCUCAACCUCCAGACGUCGACGGAAACCGCGUGGCUAGAGUCCGGAAGAGGAGAGUGGAAUUCCUGGUGUAGCGGUGAAAUGCGCAGAUAUCAGGAAGAACACCAAUGGCGAAGGCAGCUCUCUGGGACGGUACUGACGCUGAGACGCGAAAGCGUGGGGAGCGAACAGG